rnacentral:rRNA from 1 species
UGGGGAAUAUUGCGCAAUGGGCGGAAGCCUGACGCAGCGACGCCGCGUGAGGGAUGACGGCCUUCGGGUUGUAAACCUCUUUCAGCAGGGACGAAGCGUAAGUGACGGUACCUGCAGAAGAAGCACCGGCCAACUACGUGCCAGCAGCCGCGGUAAGACGUAGGGUGCAAGCGUUGUCCGGAUUUAUUGGGCGUAAAGAGCUCGUAGGCGGCUCGUCGCGUCGACCGUGAAAACCUUAGGCUUAACCUGGGGCUUGCGGUCGAUACGGGCGGGCUAGAGUUCGGUAGGGGAGACUGGAAUUCCUGGUGUAGCGGUGAAAUGCGCAGAUAUCAGGAGGAACACCGGUGGCGAAGGCGGGUCUCUGGGCCGAUACUGACGCUGAGGAGCGAAAGCGUGGGGAGCGAACAG